GCUGGGCGUGGUGGCACACGCCUGUAAUCCCGGCCACUCGGGAGGCUGAGGCAGAAGAAUCGCUUGAACCCAGGAGGCAGAGGUUGCAGUGAGAAGAGAUUGUGCCACUGCACUCCAGCCUGGGUGACAGAGUGAGACUCUGUCUCAA
rfam:Homo sapiens chromosome 12, GRCh38 reference primary assembly.